AGGCACAAGGGCGAUCUGGCUGCGACAUCUGUCACCCCAUUGAUCGCCAGUGUUAAUUCAGCUGAUCUGGCUGGCUAGGCGAGUGUCCCCUUCCUCGCUCACCGCUCCAUGUGCAUCCCUCCCGAAGCUACGUGCUCGGUGGAAGAGGACGACAUCCCAGGUAUAGAAGGAGUGUACCGAGGUCUCCAGUGUUC
rnacentral:snRNA from 1 species